UCACGCAUCGCGNCUCCCCCACNCCCACCUCGAGUGGAGGGGAAGGAGGAUGGCUUCCCGUGCCUCACCGGGCGCGCUGGCCUAAAUUCGGAGCCCACGGCACUGAGCUGCCGCGGCGUUAGGUGGUGAACAUGGCCUUCUCGGCCAAGCGAACAACCCGUCGCGCACGCCUGCCGAAUGUGAGCUUGUAGGACCCUUUGAAGUUUCAUCACUGCAACUCAAACCGUUGCGAC
rnacentral:rRNA from 1 species